CAGGGAAUAUUGUGCAAUGAGCGAAAGCUUGACACAGCGACACCGCGUGUGGGAUGACGGAUCUAGGUUUGUAAACCACUUUCAGGAGGGAAGAAAAUGACGGUACCUCCCACAAGAAGCCCCGGCCAACUACGUGCCAGCAGCCGCGGUAAUACGUAGGGGGCGAGCGUUGUCCGGAUUUAUUGGGCGUAAAGAGCUCGUAGGCGGUUCAACAAGUCGGUCGUGAAAGUUCAGGGCUCAACCCUGAAAUGUCGAUCGAUACUGUUGUGACUAGGAUACGGUAGAGGUGAGUGGAAUUCCGAGUGUAGCGGUGAAAUGCGUAGAUAUUCGGAGGAACACCAAUUGCGAAGGCAGCUCACUGGGCCGCUAUCGACGCUGAGGAGCGAAAGCUAGGGGAGCAAACAGGAUUAGAUACCCUGGUAGUCCUAGCUGUAAACGAUGGAUACUAGAUGUAGGAACUGGAUUGACGGUUUCUGUAUCGCAGCUAACGCGUUAAGUAUCCCGCCUGGGGAGUACGGUCGCAAGACUA
rnacentral:rRNA from 1 species